rnacentral:rRNA from 1 species
AGCGAACGCUGGCGGCAGGCCUAACACAUGCAAGUCGAACGAACUCUUCGGAGUUAGUGGCGGACGGGUGAGUAACACGUGGGAACGUGCCUUUUGGUUCGGAAUAACUCAGGGAAACUUGUGCUAAUACCGAAUGUGCCCUUCGGGGGAAAGAUUUAUCGCCAUUAGAGCGGCCCGCGUCUGAUUAGCUAGUUGGUGAGGUAACGGCUCACCAAGGCGACGAUCAGUAGCUGGUCUGAGAGGAUGCCCAGCCACACUGGGACUGAGACACGGCCCAGACUCCUACGGGAGGCAGCAGUGGGGAAUCUUGCGCAAUGGGCGAAAGCCUGACGCAGCCCUGCCGCGUGAAUGAUGAAGGUCUUAGGAUGGUAAAAUUCUUUCACCGGGGACGAUAAUGACGGUACCCGGAGAAGAAGCCCCGGCUAACUUCGUG